GAGAUAUUUUACAACCACAAGUUUGGAUUCAUAACUUUAAAUUGUAAGGAAACAGUACCUUUGACUCGAGUUGAACAUUUUGCUGCAGUAGCAUAUUCUUGACAAAGUCCUCCCCUCCCUCCGUUGUUAUUGGUUCCUCCCCUAGCCGAACAGGUGACGUGUGUCUGGCGGUUGAGGAAACGCGCGGUCGAGAGCGACUCGGAGCACAUUUCAGGUGUACCGUGGUGAGGUGACAGCGCCGUGCGACACUCACGACUCGAGCCAGAUCUCAUUCUCACUCACUUCUACACACACGGAACAGGAACACACGCUUCAACAUGAAGGUUGCUGUUGUGAUUUUGGGUCUAGCUGUUGUAUUCCUGAUGGCCUGGACUGCGCACGCGCAGACAACAGCAAACGCAACCGUCGCGGGAACAACGGCCCAGGCAGCCACCACACCAAGUGGCGCAGAGACCGUCUUGGGUGCGACCACUCUGCUGAUGGGGGCCCUCCUCAUCAACGCCGCUCGUGAGGCCUUCGGCUGGUGAGGUCUGCCAGGACAACGGCGCCGCCUAGCGGGCAUAUUGUGUAGCUGCAGUCUGACUGCGGUGGAAAGUUGUCCGUUUGGUGCCUUGAUGUAUCGUACAGCAAGUUUGACAUAUAACGCCAUGUGUGCAUGAGAACAGUGUUGACAAUCUUCACUACAAUCGUUUGUGCUUUACAGAAAAUGGGAGCAAAUGAAAGCCAGAGGAAAGACUUCUUCUGGCCGGAACAGCUCACCUUUAGCGUUUUUGCUGGUACUUAUACUUGUGUAAACAUGAAAAUAUUGUGAAGACAGGAGCUGUUUUCUGUUGUUGACGUGCUUUGUACUAAAAUUGUCAGUUGUCUUUAAGACAUUUCUAGUACAUUUUCAUUUACCAAGCAUUAAAAUAUCUCAACAAAAUAACUAUUGGUUAAGGAAAUUCUAUGACACAUUUCGCCCCCAUGCAACUGUGACUUCUUUUUGGUGUCUUGAUACUCGAUUGAGUCAAAAGUAAAAUACAUUGUGGAAAUGCUACUUAAUGUUUCAUAUUAGCAUCCACCAGAUUUGUCUAAAAUUACACACCAUUACAAAAAUAUACCAAUGUAAAUGUUAAAAUGUUUUAAAGCUUUCUACAUGUAUGAAUAGUUCCACGUGUGCCUGAGAGAAAAGUCUUACAACUUUGAAAAAUAUCAAGUAAGAAAUCUAAUGAUAUUCUGACAGACUUGCAUAUCAUCCAAAAGUUUUGAUGUUUAAGUGGCCUUGUCACACUGGGGGACAACACCAUGGUGUGAUGUGUUUGUGUAUCUUUUGCAAAUAAAAACUCCUCUUAGGA